rnacentral:snRNA from 1 species
CAGUGGAAUUAGCUUCCUAUCGA